CAGAGGGUGCGAGCGUUAAUCGGAAUUACUGGGCGUAAAGCGUGCGUAGACGGUUAUUUAAGUCGGGUGUGAAAGCCCCGGGCUCAACCUGGGAAUUGCAUUCGAGACUGAAUAGCUAGGGUACGGUAGAGGGAAGCGGAAUUUCCGGUGUAGCGGUGAAAUGCGUAGAUAUCGGAAGGAACAUCAGUGGCGAAAGCGGCUUCCUGGACCAGUACCGACGUUCAGGCACGAAAGCGUGGGGAGCAAACAGGAUUAGAUACCCUGGUAGUCCACGCCAUAAACGAUGAGGACUAGACGUUGGAAGGGUAAGCCUUUCAGUGUCGUAGCUAACGCGCUAAGUCCUCCGCCUGGGGAGUACGGCCGCAAGGUUG
rnacentral:rRNA from 1 species